UGGGGAAUAUUGCACAAUGGGCGCAAGCCUGAUGCAGCCAUGCCGCGUGUGUGAAGAAGGCCUUCGGGUUGUAAAGCACUUUCAGCGGGGAGGAAGGCGAUAAGGUUAAUAACCUUGUCGAUUGACGUUACCCGCAGAAGAAGCACCGGCUAACUCCGUGCCAGCAGCCGCGGUAAUACGGAGGGUGCAAGCGUUAAUCGGAAUUACUGGGCGUAAAGCGCACGCAGGCGGUCUGUCAAGUCGGAUGUGAAAUCCCCGGGCUCAACCUGGGAACUGCAUUCGAAACUGGCAGGCUAGAGUCUUGUAGAGGGGGGUAGAAUUCCAGGUGUAGCGGUGAAAUGCGUAGAAAUCUGGAGGAAUACCGGUGGCGAAGGCGGCCCCCUGGACGAAGACUGACGCUCAGGUGCGAAAGCGUGGGGAGCAAACAGG
rnacentral:rRNA from 1 species